UAGAUAUACUUCUUCUGCUGCCUUCAUC
rnacentral:sRNA from 1 species